AUUGAACGCUGGCGGCAGGCUUAACACAUGCAAGUCGAGCGGAGAUGAGGUGCUUGCACCUUAUCUUAGCGGCGGACGGGUGAGUAAUGCUUAGGAAUCUGCCUAUUAGUGGGGGACAACAUUCCGAAAGGAAUGCUAAUACCGCAUACGUUCUACGGGAGAAAGCAGGGGAUCUUCGGACCUUGCGCUAAUAGAUGAGCCUAAGUCGGAUUAGCUAGUUGGUGGGGUAAAGGCCUACCAAGGCGACGAUCUGUAGCGGGUCUGAGAGGAUGAUCCGCCACACUGGGACUGAGACACGGCCCAGACUCCUACGGGAGGCAGCAGUGGGGAAUAUUGGACAAUGGGGGAAACCCUGAUCCAGCCAUGCCGCGUGUGUGAAGAAGGCCUUAUGGUUGUAAAGCACUUUAGGCGAGGAGGAGGCUACUGAGACUAAUACUCUUGGAUAGUGGACGUUACUCGCAGAAUAAGCACCGGCUAACUCUGUGCCAGCCGCCGCCGUAA
rnacentral:rRNA from 1 species